rnacentral:rRNA from 1 species
GGCAGCGGUGGUGAAGGCUUGCCUUUACCAGCCGGCGACCGGCGCACGGGUGAGUAACACGUAUGCAACCUGCCUGCCACAGCCGGAUAAUCGGGAGAAAUUCCGUCUAAUACGGCAUAAUGCACCUAUGGGACAUCCUGUUGGUGCCAAAGGUUAAUUCCGGUGGCGGAUGGGCAUGCGUCGCAUUAGUUAGUUGGCGGUGUAACGGACCACCAAGACGACGAUGCGUAGGGGUUCUGAGAGGAAGGUCCCCCACACUGGUACUGAGACACGGACCAGACUCCUACGGGAGGCAGCAGUGAGGAAUAUUGGUCAAUGGGCGGGAGCCUGAACCAGCCAAGUCGCGUGAGGGAUGACGGCCCUAUGGGUUGUAAACCUCUUUUGCCGGGGAGCAAAGUGCCGCACGUGUGCGGUUUGGAGAGUACCCGGAGAAAAAGCAUCGGCUAACUCCGUGCCAGCAGCCGCGGUAAUACGGAGGAUGCGAGCGUUAUCCGGAUUUAUUGGGUUUAAAGGGUGCGUAGGCGGACGCUUAAGUCAGCGGUAAAAUUGCGGGGCUCAACCUCGUCGAGCCGUUGAAACUGGGUGCCUUGAGUGGGCGAGAAGUACGCGGAAUGCGUGGUGUAGCGGUGAAAUGCAU